CCGCCGGCAGCACCCCCGGCUCGCCCCGCAGCCCCCCGCUGGCACGGGACGGGGUCCUGGGGUUAAGGGGCCGAUGCUGCGGAGGACGUGGAUGGCGCUGCCCGGCCGGAGGCGGCAGCAGGAUGGCUGUGAGCACUCAAAGGUGAAGCUGGACCCGUCCGGGCAGCGGGAGUAGCGGCACCCGCAGAGUGCCACGGAUGGCCCGACAACUCUGCAAAUGGUCCUGGCGCAACGCCGUGUACCCUGCCCGUGUGCCUGCCAGUUUAUCCACCCGUGUGCCUGCCACUGUACUCACCACCGUACCCACCCGUGUGCCUGCCAGUGCACCCACCUGUGUAUCCACCCGUGUGCCUGCCACUGUACUCACCACCGUACCCACCCGUGUGCCUGCCAGUGCAAACCCAGCCGUGCAACCCCGCGGGUUACUGGGUGUCUGUGACGAAGGACAGGCUGCACAGCCAGCCCCCAGCCUAGCCCCAGGCCUGCUCCCCGUGACCCACAGAGCCCUACAGCCAGGGCGGAAAAGCCUGGUGCAUCCAGCUGGAGUCCAGCUCUGACCCAGGAGAGAAAAGGAUGGAGUUCUUUUGCUGGCCUAAGCCAGGCUCUCAGGAGACAGAGAGCAAAAAUGAGAAAAGUGAAGAGCAGCAAGGAGGUGAUCCCCUGUAUCAUACCACGUAACUCCAUGGCACUUUGUGGCUUUAGCAUUCUUCAGUGACUCCAGGCUGCAGGACCUUUGCCAACCUUGCUGUGGCUGCCUGAACACGGCUGCAGUGCUGCUGCUCCACAAAAGAUACAAGAACAGACCCAUGUUGUGCUAGAGAUGACACAUCCAGCCCUGCUGCCACCACUGCCAACCUUCUCAGCUGCACUGGGGCUCAGACCUUAGCCAGGCUGUUGCAGACCACGCUGGCAGGAUGAGAGCUGCCACUUCACAGCAGUGUUAGGCAUUAGGGAGCAUUAGGGAGACAUCCCUCUCCUCCUGCAGGGACCCAUUGUUAGCCAUUUCAUGGUAAACACUGUCUUUAUAGCACUGUGCCAGAAUACAGCACAGGCACUGGAGUGGCUGUAUAUCCACUCCUAGAUUCUGACCCCUACGUGUUUUCCACCUUCUGGACACUGAUAGUGCCAGAGUACCAGCCUGGAAUUUAUUUCAUGAAAGUUUAAAUGUCUAGAUGUCAUAUCUCAGUUAUUCUCCCUUUCUAACUUGUGGAUAGCAACACUGUGCUCUUUUGCCUUUUUCAUCUUGGUUUUCUAGAGUGUUUACUCUGGACAUCUACCUACAACUGUAUCAAAGUUCACAAAAAUAAGCAAUACCAGAGCUAUCUAUAUCUUUUGAGCUGCAGAAAGGGAGGAAGGUUCAGCAACUACUAAUACCAGAGUUCAGGGCAAAACUUUCUUCUUCCUGUUUUCCCCCAUGCUUCCUAUCAGUUCCCUAGCCAGCCUCAAGCUAAAACAUAUGUGUUAUAUAUGAGAAAAUACAUAUUGUGUGAUACAAUACACAGUUUUUAGGAAUAUGAUCUCUGGAUGACCACAGCACAUGAGUUCUGCAAGUCAUCA
ensembl:lncRNA